CUAGUCGGGUUUUGUAAAUUGUACUGUAAACCUUCUUUCGUGAUGAAGAAGAGUGAGAAAAUAUUAGAUUCCUUUAACAUGCACCAAUUCAGUGUGGAAAAAGGCCCCAUGGAUCACCUACCAGUCCUACCCCAUCUAUUUUGUUCUCUCACAUAGCCUUGGCUGUGGCAUUGCACGUCAAUGACUUGCAUUAUAGACCAGCCUGUGGACAACACUUUGAGAACCACUGCAGUAGAAGCUCUAGAAAUGAACAUCAUUUUAUUCCCUCUUGAUCACCAACUUCUAAGGUAUUACUGCACUUAUUCUGCGAAUCUUGUACUUUCCUCACCUUUUCUGUGGAAAAUAUGCACUGCCUAGCACACUGGACUUUAGCAUCGUUAUAUGCACUGUGGGAUCACAGACUUUGAAUUAGAAGAAUUCACCAACAAGAAUAUGCUCAACAUCAUGAAGAGAUGAUGAAUGUUUCAAACCAAAAAACUAUGGUAUUCAAUCUACUAUAAAAAGAAAAAAAAAAGCUAUCAUAUACAGAAUACCAAGUUUUGAAUUGAGUUCCAAAUCUACAAAAUAUUUUCAGGGUAACUAUAAGUUCCUUUUAAUCAUCUUAUGUUAGAAUAUGGCAGCAUUUGUAUCAUCGUCUUGCUUUCAAACUUCAGCAUCAAAUGUCGACCUCGAGGACCUCACUUUAAACAAAAUGAUGACCUGAUCCAUCAAUGCUUUUCAUCAAGAUCGCAAAGAGGGAAGUCCACCAGACAAGAAAAAUCCAAUGUAUCAACUUUUAUCAAUUUUCUACACGCCCAGUGCCUUAACAUACUACAAAUCUUCUGUUUUCAUGUCUCCGGAGAUACAUUUUUCGAAGAUGAAGUCCUUUUAAAAUCAUCAGGAAACACAGAAGCUAAGGACCACCUUCCCAUCAAAAAGCUCUCAGAGAUAGAACCAGAUAUAACAACACCAACAAUUUUUUCCUCUUGCAAGGAAGAUAUCAGUUGGGAUGAUACUGUUGCUGAUCUGCACAGUUUGACUGAUAAAACACAGCCACAUCCAUUAACUUCAACACCAAGAAAACCUUUACUCUUGUUGAAACCAGCUGAACAGAUUAAAGCUAGCCAGAAAAGGGCCGUCAUCUUGGCCAGAGAAGGAAGGAUGCAUCUGACCACUUCGAAGGUCCACGUUUUGGAGGGGCGCCAGCGUUUGGAAGAGUUCAAGAAUGAUAUGUUAAACGUCAGAUCCAGUAUAUGCGCAGCACGUCAUUUGUUCUCCCUGGUGGAGAGAGAAAUUAAGAAUUACAGAUGUGAGUCAGUAGACAGAGAAUGUUGGAAUCGUUUCUUGACAUCGAACUCUCGAACCGCAAGGCCCUACAAUCCACAAACAAAGUUGUAUCGUGAACAUCGAAUCUUCAUAGAAGAAAUAAAGUAUCAUUUCAAGUGGCGAUACGGGAUUGUUUGGUGACGUCACCUUCCAGAAGUUGUUUGUUCGUCUUAACGACAUAGCCAAGUUUUGUGUUAAGUUGAUAAGGGGGAAAUAUGUCUAGAGGCUGUAGUCUUGUGUUUGAUCAACUUUUAAUUUUUUUUUCUCCCAAUUAUAAAACAUCUGGCAUGUUUCCCAUGUGUUAGUUAUUGAAGCCCUAAUUGAGUUGAAUUUUUUCCAGUAUCUUCUUUAAUAUUUUCAUUUAUGUUCAAUGUUAAACAUUUAUCUUUCCAGUAUGGGAAUGUAGGCUUGUUCUUCGACCUCAUCAGUCAGUUCUUCUGCUUGCUUUGUUCCUCCUCUAACACAUCAACCAGCUUUUCAGUUCAGUUUGUUCCUCCUCUGAUACAUCAGUCAGUUCUUUAGCUUGGUUUGUUCCUCCUCUGACACAUCAGUCAGUUCUUUUGUUUGGCUUGUUCCUCCUCUGACACAUCAACCAGCUUUUCAGUUCAGUUUGUUCCUCCUCAGACACAUCAGUAGUUCUUUAGCUUGGUUUGUUCCUCCUCUGACACAUCAGUCAGUUCUUCUGCUUGCUUUGUUCCUCCUCUAACACAUCAACCAGCUUUUCAGUUUAGUUUGUUCCUCCUCUGACACAUCAACCAGCAUUUCAGUUCAGUUUGUUCCUUCUCUAACACAUCAGUCAGUUCUUUAGCUUGGUUUGUUCCUCCUCUGACACAUCAACCAGCUUUUCAGUUUAGUUUGUUCCUUCUCUAACACAUCAGUCAGUUCUUUAGCUUGGUUUGUUCCUCCUCUGACACAUCAAUCAGUUCUUCUGCUUGCUUUGUUCCUCCUCUAACACAUCAACCAGCUUUUCAGUUUAGUUUGUUCCUUCUCUAACACAUCAGUCAGUUCUUCUGCUUGCUUUGUUCCUCCUCUAACACAUCAACCAGCUUUUCAGUUUAGUUUGUUCCUCCUCUGACACAUCAGUCAGUUCUUCUGCUUGCUUUGUUCCUCCUCUAACACAUCAACCAGCUUUUCAGUUUAGUUUGUUCCUUCUCUAACACAUCAGUCAGUUCUUCAUCUUGGUUUGCUCCUCCUAUAACUCAUCAUUUAAUUCUUCUGCUUGAUUUGUUCCUCCUCUAAAUCAUCAGUCAGUUCUUCUGCUUGGUUUGUUCCUUCUCUCCAAGUCAUCGGUCAGUUCUUCUGCUUGGUUUGUUCCUUCUCACCAAGUCAUCGGUCAGUUCUUCUGCUUGGUUUGUUCCUUCUCUCCAAGUCAUCGGUCAGUUCUUCUGCUUGGUUUGUUUCUUCUCUCCAAGUCAUUGGUCAGUUCCUCUGUGGUAUAACAAUAAAAUAUUGAUGAUAAAAUUAAGGACUUCAGAUUAAUUUGUUUUUAUGAUGUGUUUGGCCAAAACCCUUCAGAGAGGCUUUGUCUGAAAGGUUGUAUCGAAAAGAUCCCAAUUCUGUCGUUCAGAUUUUAAAUUAUAGUUCGUCAUAUCUUAAGCUAAGAAUGCUACUGUGAAAUAUAAUGUUUUUGUACGCAGAUUUUUAGAAAGUAUGGCAUAGAAUUGAAAAGAGCUGAAGCAUUACUGUUAUCAACAAGAUCAAAGUAAUUUAUGUGUGUGUCUUAAGUUGGAAGCUGAUAAGUGGCCCUGUCUGUCCUUGUGUCUGUUCGUCUAAUCCCAUUUCUCUCUCACGUGUUUAUAAUCUUGUUUUAGCCUUUCCAUGAUUUUGGUCUCCCACACUGCUCCUUGAUGUGUCAUAUGCAUCUUAUUUCUCGAACACGUGUUUGUUGGUCUGACAUGGUUUGAGUGUAAUAAAGAAUUAUUAAUUUCAAAGUGGUUCCUCGUCAUCGAAUUUGAAUAGUUUGAGUGGGCGUUAAUCUAACUGUAGCAAACCCCCACCGCCAACAAACAAGGAAACUAGGACUACAAAUGACACAACGAAUCCUUCUUCAUGAUGCAACUCUCUCACUGCUACGUGCGUAUGUUUAUAUGGGACACACUAAAACAUUCGUAUUUAGUAUUGAGAACUGUGAUAUUAACCGUAUGUGAAUUUGGAAUUUUGUAGUGCCGAACUUUACAGGUUUUGACAAGUAAUGACAUGUUGAAACAUGUUCUUCGAUUUUUAUUAUGCAUAAGCCUGGUUUUGUGAUAGUCAUAUAUACACGUGGCAUUAUGAUGGAAUUCUAUAAACCUGGCUUUGUGAUAGUCAUAUAUACACGUGGCAUUAUGAUGGAAUUCUAUAAACCUGGCUUUGUGAUAGUCAUAUAUAUACACGUGGCAUUAUGCUGGAAUUCUAUAAACCUGGCUUUGUGAUAGUUAUAUAUACACGUGGCAUUAUGCUGUAAUUCUAUAAACCUGGCUUUGUGAUAGUCAUAUAUACACGUGGCAUUAUGCUGGAAUUCUAUAAACCUGGCUUUGUGAUAGUCAU